UUAUAACUGAUAGAACAACUUUAGGUUUUCUCUUUCAAACAGGUGACUGUGAAUGUCAGCGAUGAACAGAGAGAGAACAACUUUGUGAACCCAGUGUAUCAUACAGACAACAAUGUGGUCAUCGUGCAUACCUCUUCUGGAAGUGACAAACCUUCACAGGAGUCGAAAUGGAGCUUAUUGAAAAGGAAACUAAACCCAAGUACCACGUUUGAAAACCCUUCAUACUCAGAGAUGAAGGAUGAAAAACCUGGAGGAAAGCAGC